rnacentral:rRNA from 1 species
GAGUUAUCUGAACCUUCGGGGAACGAUAACGGCGUCGAGCGGCGGACGGGUGAGUAACGCCUAGGAAAUUGCCUUGAUGUGGGGGAUAACCAUUGGAAACGAUGGCUAAUACCGCAUAAUGCCUACGGGCCAAAGAGGGGGACCUUCGGGCCUCUCGCGUCAAGAUAUGCCUAGGUGGGAUUAGCUAGUUGGUGAGGUAAUGGCUCACCAAGGCGACGAUCCCUAGCUGGUCUGAGAGGAUGGUCAGCCACACUGGAACUGAGACACAGUCCAGACUCCCACGGGAGGCAGCAGUGGGGAAUAUUGCACAAUGGGCGAAAGCCUGAUGCAGCCAUGCCGCGUGUAUGAAGAAGGCCUUCGGGUUGUAAAGUACUUUCAGUUGUGAGGAAGGGGGUGUCGUUAAUAGCGGCAUCUCUUGACGUUAGCAACAGAAGAAGCACCGGCUAACUCCGUGCCAGCAGCCGCGGUAAUACGGAGGGUGCGAGCGUUAAUCGGAAUUACUGGGCGUAAAGCGCAUGCAGGUGGUUCAUUAAGUCAGAUGUGAAAGCCCGGGGCUCAACCUCGGAACUGCAUUUGAAACUGGUGAACUAGAGUACUGUAGAGGGGGGUAGAAUUUCAGGUGUAGCGGUGAAAUGCGUAGAGAUCUGAAGGAAUACCAGUGGCGAAGGCGGCCCCCUGGACAGAUACUGACACUCAGAUGCGAAAGCGUGGGGAGCAAACAGGAUUAGAUACCCUGGUAGUCCACGCCGUAAACGAUGUCUACUUGGAGGUUGUGGCCUUGAGCCGUGGCUUUCGGAGCUAACGCGUUAAGUAGACCGCCUGGGGAGUACGGUCGCAAGAUUAAAACUCAAAUGAAUUGACGGGG